rnacentral:rRNA from 1 species
UGGGGAAUAUUGCACAAUGGAGGGAACUCUGAUGCAGCGACGCCGCGUGAGUGAUGAAGGAAUUCGUUUCGUAAAACUCUGUUCUAUGGGAAGAAAAGGACUGUACCAUAGGAGAAAGCUCCGGCUAAAUACGUGCCAGCAGCCGCGGUAAUACGUAUGGAGCGAGCGUUGUCCGGAAUUAUUGGGCGUAAAGGGUGCGCAGGCGGCUUUACAAGUUGGAUGUGAAAUAUUGUGGCUCAACCACAAACGUGCAUCCAAAACUGCAAAGCUUGAGUUAAGGAGAGGUAAGGGGAAUUCCUGGUGUAGCGGUGGAAUGCGUAGAUAUCAGGAGGAAUACCGGUGGCGAAGGCGACUUACUGGACAUAAACUGACGCUCAGGCACGAAAGCGUGGGGAGCAAACAGG